UUUUUUUUGUUUUUUUCUUUUUUCUUUUUUCUUUGUCUUUUUUUGUUUGAAAUGAGGAAGG
rnacentral:ribozyme from 12 species